UACGUAGGGGGCAAGCGUUGUCCGGAUUCAUUGGGCGUAAAGAGCGUGUAGGCGGCCAGGUAGGUCGGUUGUGAAAACUGGAGGCUCAACCUUCAGAGGUCGGCCGAAACCAUCUGGCUAGAGUCCGGGAGAGGAGAGUGGAAUUCCUGGUGUAGCGGUGAAAUGCGCAGAUAUCGGGAGGAACACCGGUGGCGAAGGCGGUUCUCUGGGCCUGUACUGACGCUGAGGAGCGAAAGCGUGGGGAGCGAACAGG
rnacentral:rRNA from 1 species